UCCUGGCUUAGGAUGAACGCUGGCGGCGUGCUUAACACAUGCAAGUCGAACGGAGUUUAUUUUACGAUUCCUUCGGGGAUGACGAGAUAAGACUUAGUGGCGGACGGGUGAGUAACGCGUGGGUAACCUGCCUCAUACAGGGGGAUAACAGUUUGAAACGACUGUUAAUACCGCAUAAGCGCACGGUAUUGCAUGAUACAGUGUGAAAAACUCCGGUGGUAUGAGAUGGACCCGCGUCUGAUUAGAUAGUUGGUGGGGUAACGGCCUACCAAGUCGACGAUCAGUAGCCGGCCUGAGAGGGUGAACGGCCACAUUGGGACUGAGACACGGCCCAAACUCCUACGGGAGGCAGCAGUGGGGAAUAUUGCACAAUGGGGGAAACCCUGAUGCAAGCGACGCCGCGUGAGCGAUUGAAGUAUUUCGGUAUGUAAAGCUCUAUCAGCAGGGAAGAAAAUGGCGGUACCUGACUAAGAAGCCCCGGCUAACUACGUGCCAGCAGCGGC
rnacentral:rRNA from 1 species